rnacentral:rRNA from 1 species
CGGGUGCACUGAUCCAGCCGGGCCUUUCCCUCUGUGGAACCCCAUGGCCUUCACUGGCUGUGGUGGGGAAACAGGACUUUUACUUUGAAAAAAUUAGAGUGCUCCAGGCAGGCCUAUGCUCGAAUACAUUAGCAUGGAAUAAUAGAAUAGGACGUGUGGUUCUAUUUUGUUGGUUUCUAGGACCGCCGUAAUGAUUAAUAGGGACAGUCGGGGGCAUCAGUAUUCAAUUGUCAGAGGUGAAAUUCUUGGAUCUAUUGAAGACUAACUACUGCGAAAGCAUUUGCCAAGGAUGUUUUCAUUGAUAAGGAACGAAAGUUAGGGGAUCGAAGACGAUCAGAUACCGUCGUAGUCUUAACUAUAAACUAUGCCGACUAGGGAUCGGACGAUGUUAUUCCUUGACGCGUUCGGCACCUUUCGAGAAAUCAAAGUGCUUGGGCUCCAGGGGGAGUAUGGUCGCAAGGCUGAAACUUAAAGAAAUUGACGGAAGGGCACCACCAGGGGUGGAACCUGCGGCUUAAUUUGACUCAACACGGGGAAACUCACCAGGUCCAGACACAGUGAGGAUUGACAGAUUGAGAGCUCUUUCUUGAUUCUGUGGGUGGUGGUGCAUGGCCGUUCUUAGUUGGUGGAGUGAUUUGUCUGCUUAAUUGCGAUAACGAACGAGACCUUAACCUGCUAAAUAGCCCGUACUGCUUUGGCAGUUCGCCGGCUUCUUAGAGGGACUAUCGG